rnacentral:lncRNA from 1 species
AGGCCAUGAGUGACACACCCCGACCCGGAAAGUCUCACUUGGACUCCGAAUCGAUUUGUACUGGCCGACACCUGAAGGGUGACAAAGCCAUAAAGUGUAGUGUAGUGGAAAAAGAAUGUGAAUAAAUUUAAACCUAAAAGUGCCUAAACAAAAGAGUGUGUGGGUGAACGGGAUUGAACCCUUUUCACACAUGAUGUUAGAGCAUAAGAUAGUAUAAUGAAUAGGAGAGGGUUAUACCACUAAUGAUAACCAUCUCCUAAGACUUGCCAGAAUCCUCAUUUAUAAGUAAGCACAUCUACUAAACGUGGAGGGGCGAAAAACAAAGUUAAGUGGGUCAGCAAAACAACGUUAUGUAAAACCUUUAUUUUCGAAUAUAACCCCUCGCCAUAAAACAAGUAUAGUUUCCUUAAAACAUACUACGUAAGUAUGUAAACAAUAAUACAACAACAUUAUAACCAGAAAUAUGCCAAGUCAUGAUAUAUAAAUGCCACAGUAAUAAAAUCAUGUGAUAAUCAAGUAUAGCUAAGUGCUCAUCCAUUUAAGUUGACACACGAGUUCAAACAGAUAAUUUCUGACAUGAACAGGAUUGGGUGUAAUCAAUAUGCUCUAGUAUUAUGAUCACGUGAAGGCUGGUGUAGAAGCACGGUCACAUACAAGUCGGAUUGCCUAAUGCAAUCUACCUAACAGGACUAGCACCUAACUUGGAUCCAAGACGAGCGAACGGUACAAUAUGAACAUACACGUGAAGGACUAGCCCUGGCCUUGGGGUGAAUACUAACACCGGUGCUGCAAGAUGAGCAUGUACAGAUAUGUAUGAAUGUCAUGACAGUAAUAUCCCAACCAUAUAGCAUUAUUUAUCACAAUUCAUAACACAAUAAUGGUACUAGGCAAUAUAAGUGUAAAAUGAAGUAAAUACAUGUUCAUGGAAACUAUAAUAUGUAUAGGUAUAAAAAAAACUGCCUACUCAUAAGUACGUCACUGGGUCGUAGCCCCCGAGCCUAGCCUGGCCUCGCAAUUCCUCGGGAUACGUUUCCCCUAUAUGUGAAAUAACUAAAAUAAAAUUAAUUAAAGCACCUAUAUGGAAACCCAAAUAAAACCCCUCAUAGUUUGCUCAAACCUAGGGUUUAAAUAUAUGAAAUCAAUCUACUCGACGUCACGGACACACACCCGUCGACCACACGCCAGCUGGAGGCUGGACACGCCGUCAUAACCCACCACAAGGGGCUGCACAACCUACCAUGCGCUGCAUGCGCUGAUGGCAUGUGGGUGGUCAUGCGCGUUCACGCGCCUGCGAGUACGCGUGUACUCGCCUUCUCCAAGAUUUUCUUUAGUUUUUAUAGAUUUUUGGGCCAACUUCUCGAGCCCCUAACGAGCUUGAUUCUCAACCAAAAACACUUCUACAAAAGCCAAAUUAAAGUUAGGAAUGUGAUGAAUCGAUCCAUUUUCACAAAAGGUUCAAGUGUGGUCCGUGUUGUCCAGAAAUGUGGUCUGAAAGUGGCCAAAUGGCCACGGCCAAACUUUUCCAGAAAGUUGGAAAAUUUCUUCCCAACUUCUAGAGUUGAGUUCUAACUCGAAAGUUAACCAAAUUCGAUGGUUCAAAAUCCAUUUUGAAGUUAAGAAUGUAGAGAAUAAGUCUAUACCUAUUAGAUGCUCAGUCGUGUUCUAUGUUGGUCGAGGAAAUGGUUUGAAAGUGGCCUGAUGG